rnacentral:rRNA from 1 species
UAUCGAGAGUUUGAUCCUGGCUCAGGAUGAACGCUGGCAGCGCGCCUUAGUCAUGCAAGUCACAGGGUCCGCCUUUUAGGCGGAAAACUGGCGUCCGGGUGAGUAGUACUUUGGAACCUAUCCCUAACUUUGGCAUAACCUACCGAAAGGUAGGCUAAUUCCAAAUAGUUUCUAUCUUGUCAAACAAGAUAAAAUAAAGCUUUUGCGGUCAGGGAAGGGCCUAAGGCCUAUCAGCUUGUUGGUAAGGUAAUGGCUUACCAAGGCUUUGACGGGUAGUUGGUCUGAGAAGAUGAUCAACCACAAUGGGACUGAAACACGGCCCAUACUCCUACGGGAGGCAGCAGUUAGGAAUCUUGCGCAAUGGCCGAAAGGCUGACGCAGCGACGCCGCGUAAAGGAAGAAGUCCUUUUUGGAUGUAAACUUUUUUUAGCCGAGAACAAGUUCUGAGUGUAUCGGCUGAAUAAGCUACGACUAACCUCGUGCCAGCAGUCGCGGUAAUACGAGGGUAGCGAGCGUUAUCCGGAAUUACUGGGCGUAAAGCGUUGUAUAAGUGUCUUGGUAAGUCAGCUAUUAAAUCCUUGUGCUCAACAUAAGGGCCGUAGCUGAUACUACCUGGAUUGAGUAAGUUCGACGCAGAUGGAAUUCCUAGAGUAGGGGUUACAUCCAUUGAUACUAGGAAGAACACCAAAGGCGAAAGCAUUCUGCGAGGGCUUUACUGACACUGCGUACACGAAAGCGUGGGGAGCGAACAGUAUUAGAUACACUGGUAGUCCACGCUGUAAACGAUGGAUGCUAGUAGUCUGAAGUUUUCGACCCUUCAAGCUACGAAGCUAACGCGUUAAGCAUCUCGCCUGGGAAGUACGGCCGCAAGGCUAAAACUCAAAGGAAUAGACGGGGACCCGCACAAGCGGUGGAGCAUGUGGUUUAAUUCGAAGAUAAGCGUGGAACCUUACCAGGGUUUAGACUUAUAUGGAACCCCUUAGAAAUAAGGGGGUGUCCUCUUUUAGCAGGAAGCCAUAUAAUCAGGUAUUGCAUGGCAGUCGUCAGCUCGUGUCGUGAGAUUUCCGGUUAAGUCCGAAAACGAGCGCAACCCUUAUNNNNNNNNNNNNNNNNNNNNNNNNNNNNNNNNNNNNNNNNNNNNNNNNNNNNNNNNNNCGUCUUGUCCGCAUGGUCCUUGAUGCCCUGGGCGACACACGUGCUACAAUGGUGUAUACAAAGGGUUGCUUAGGGGUAACCUGAAGCCAAUCCCUAAAAUACACCCCAGUUCGGAUUGAAGUCUGCAACUUGACUUCAUGAAGAUGGAAUCGCUAGUAACCGCAGAUCAGCCACGCUGCGGUGAAUACGUUCUCGGGUCUUGUACUCACCGCCCGUCAGAUCAGAAAAGCCAGUAAUACCCGAAGUUCCGCAUUACGCGGACCGAAGGUAGGAUUGGUGAUUAGGAUUAAGUCGUAACAAGGUAUCCCUAGGGGAAUCUGGGGAUGGAUCACCUCCUUUC